CAGAAAUACAAGCGAUUUCCUUUAAUAAGAAAGUACAGCAAUGGCCCAGUUUCUUCCCAGCUCUCGGUGCACAUUACCGAGAUGGCACCAGGAGGCAAGCUGCACUAUCACUGAGGCGUUGCUCUGAGGGGAAGAAGAGAGGGAACUUGAAGAAUCAGCCAAUUUGCAGAGAAAGAGCAGGACGAGACCCGUCUCCUGGACCAGAAUAGUAAGUGGAAAGAAGAGGAAUACUCAAAGCUGAGUUCAAAAGGGAAGUUAAUCUGCGGGAAGGGCAGGGACGUCUUCCUGGAUGCUUGAGACCAUACGGAAGGAAGACCAGGAGGCAGCCAAGUGACCGGGGCUGAGAAAGGCAGUGUGACAGAGGGGCAGCAGGACUGAAGUUGUUGUGGAUACUACGCUAAUUAUGGGUAACUCCAGAAUCACGAAUUGGAACAUGAAGAGAAGCAAGAAAAUGGACAGGCGACACAGACUGCAUUCUGCAAGAAUCUGUGGCCCUCUUGCUAUAACAGCAUGCUGUUUAGCUGCCAAAAUAUUAGGACUGAAAGCAGCUGGCAAAAAUGUUCAUGGAGGAAGUGAGCCUGCUCGGAGAGGCCAAAGGAAAAUUCUCCUCGACUGUGACCCCAGAAGGACCCCCGGGCCUCAGGACCUCUUUUGGAAGCCUCUGCUCAGUCAGCUUGGGGCUCCCUCAGACCCCAGGGCCCCGGGGGCUCCUUUGAAGAGCAGCAUAGGAGAAUGCCCCGACACGAUCCUUUUAAAAACCUUUGCAGGCCUCUGUACAGGGGAGUUUGGCUUGAGGAAAAGCUUCCCAGCGGAAAUACUGUUGAAGCUGCCGAGAGUUAUCUGGGCUGAUCCCUUUCCAUGAUGCUUCUCUGGACGACAGGGACCCUCAGCUCCAGGAAGCUAGCGUGCAGCCCUGACCCAGCCAGCUAUCAUUGCUCUGUCCCGCUUCUCGGGGAAGGCCCCUCCAGCCCCUUCCUGCCCCUAGAUGGCACCUCCACAAAGAGCGAAUUUCCUCCCAUCCGUGACCUGGCAAACAGGAGCCAUCACAGGAGUGAAGAUACAUCAACAGAGGGCUGCAGGCACUUGUUUCAUCUCCCUGUUGGUGCAGUGCCUGAGACUUGACUUGUUUUAAAAUUAAAUAUUUUAAAACAUU